rnacentral:rRNA from 1 species
GAUGAACGCUGGCGGCGUGCCUAAUACAUGCAAGUCGAGCGAACGGACGAGAAGCUUGCUUCUCUGAUGUUAGCGGCGGACGGGUGAGUAACACGUGGAUAACCUACCUAUAAGACUGGGAUAACUUCGGGAAACCGGAGCUAAUACCGGAUAAUAUUUUGAACCGCAUGGUUCAAAAGUGAAAGACGGUCUUGCUGUCACUUAUAGAUGGAUCCGCGCUGCAUUAGCUAGUUGGUAAGGUAACGGCUUACCAAGGCAACGAUGCAUAGCCGACCUGAGAGGGUGAUCGGCCACACUGGAGCUGAGACACGGUCCAGACUCCUACGAGAGGCAGCAGUAGGGAAUCGUACGCAAUGGGCGAAAGCCUGACGGAGCAACGCCAAGUGAGUUAUGAAGGUCUUCGGAUCGUAAAGCUCUGUUAUUAGGGAAGAACAUAUGUGUAAGGAACUGUGCACAUCUUGACGGUACCUAAUCAGAAAGCCACGGCUAACUACGUG